rnacentral:rRNA from 1 species
CAACAGCCACGGGAAUACGAAGGGGGCUAGCGUUGCUCGGAAUCACUGGGCGUAAAGGGUGCGUAGGCGGGUCUUUAAGUCAGGGGUGAAAUCCUGGAGCUCAACUCCAGAACUGCCUUUGAUACUGAAGAUCUUGAGUUCGGGAGAGGUGAGUGGAACUGCGAGUGUAAAGGUGAAAUUCGUAGAUAUUCGGAGGAACACCAGUGGCGAAGGCGGCUCACUGGCUCGAUACUGACGCUGAGGUGCGAAAGCGUGGGGAGCAAACAGGAUUAGAUACCCCAGUAGUCCCUGUCUCUUAUAC